rnacentral:lncRNA from 1 species
GUCUUCUUUGAUUUUAAGUAAUUUAAUUCCAUAUUUAGAAAUAUUUAAGUGAUAUCAAUAUGAUCUAAAAUGACAUUUUGGUUAUAUAUGGGUUAGUUCCUAAUUUCAGUGUUUAUUUAGUUAGUUCCAGAUUGCUAAAACACGAGUUCAGGAUAGGUAGGAGAUGCAAUAAGUGCUUGCUCAAACUAUGGCUGAAAAUACCAAUUAAUACUGGUCCAUUAUCAGUUUCAACAAUACUAUUAAACUGAUACAAUAUUAGUAUAUUAGGCAGUCUCCUG